rnacentral:rRNA from 1 species
CUACGGGUGGCUGCAGUGGGGAAUAUUGCACAAUGGGCGCAAGCCUGAUGCAGCCAUGCCGCGUGUAUGAAGAAGGCCUUCGGGUUGUAAAGUACUUUCAGCGGGGAGGAAGGGAGUAAAGUUAAUACCUUUGCUCAUUGACGUUACCCGCAGAAGAAGCACCGGCUAACUCCGUGCCAGCAGGCCGCGGUAAUACGGAGGGUGCAAGCGUUAAUCGGAAUUACUGGGCGUAAAGCGCACGCAGGCGGUUUGUUAAGUCAGAUGUGAAAUCCCCGGGCUCAACCUGGGAACUGCAUCUGAUACUGGCGAGCUUGAGUCUCGUAGAGGGGGGUAGAAUUCCAGGUGUAGCGGUGAAAUGCGUAGAGAUCUGGAGGAAUACCGGUGGCGAAGGCGGCCCCCUGGACGAAGACUGACGCUCAGGUGCGAAAGCGUGGGGAGCAAACAGGAUUAGAUACCCGAGUAGUC